GCUGGGCGUGGUGGCUCACGCCUGUAAUCCCAGCACUUUGGGAGGCAGAGGCAGGUGGAUCACCUGAGGUCAGGAGUUCGAGACCAGCCUGGCCAACAUGGUGAAACCCCGUCUCUA
rnacentral:SRP_RNA from 2 species